AGCAAAUCCACACAAGAUUAAUAUCGUUGCACAAGAGGUUGAUAGAGCAUUACAUAUUUAGAUGAGGCACACAACCAAAGAAGCAGCAGCAGCUGACCAAAGUUUAGACCCAUACAUAGGGCAACCAGUCAUUGCAUACAAGAUGAUACUAGUGGAUUAUGGCAGCUUCUCUUUUUCUCUUCUGAUUGAGCAGAGAGAUGCCACCGCCAUUAUUUCUUGAGGUGAGGGAAGCACGCGG
rnacentral:misc_RNA from 1 species